rnacentral:rRNA from 1 species
CGGCGGACGGGUGAGUAACGCGUGGGUAACCUGCCUUAUACAGGGGGAUAACAGUUAGAAAUGACUGCUAAUGCCGCAUAAGCGCACAGUACCGCAUGGUAGUGUGUGAAAAACUCCGGUGGUAUAAGAUGGACCCGCGUCUGAUUAGCCAGUUGGCGGGGUAACGGCCCACCAAAGCGACGAUCAGUAGCCGACCUGAGAGGGUGACCGGCCACAUUGGGACUGAGACACGGCCCAAACUCCUACGGAAGGCAGCAG